GCCACAUGAUGACUGGUGUAGCAGCAGCAGGAGCUCCUGGGCUGUGAUGACUUGCUAUCUACCAUCCUUGUCUGAUGGCA